UACGGGCAAUGCCAGAUCAAGAGGCGGUGAACAGAAAGAGUUGGAGUUGGAGGUAGCUGAGGCAACUAAAGCAGCGGAACAUCACCCACCAGAGCUACUGGAGAACACGAAUGAAUGGUAACAAUGCAGUUUCAGGUACAGUAUUACAGGAUAUAGUAGUAUUAUUCCUGAGCUGCGAAUUUGAAGAUAUAAAAAGGGAGGAUCUUAAUAUUAACUAGCGAAGUUUGCAAGAGGCUUAGCACAGGAUAUUUGCUGGAUACAUGAUGAUGAUUUUCCAGUGUGGUGGCUUGUAAAGAAAGUCCUUGUCGGACAACAAGGGAUUGCUAAUCGGACAUUUGUCCAGAUUGCUCAUAAAUAUUUUACAUAUGAAAUGGAACUUUUAUCGUUGCGACCGUGGAAAAAAA
rnacentral:lncRNA from 1 species